UACGGGAGGCAGCAGUGGGGAAUAUUGCACAAUGGGCGCAAGCCUGAUGCAGCCAUGCCGCGUGUAUGAAGAAGGCCUUCGGGUUGUAAAGUACUUUCAGUCGUGAGGAAGGUGUUAAGGUUAAUAACCUUAGCAAUUGACGUUAGCGACAGAAGAAGCACCGGCUAACUCCGUGCCAGCAGCCGCGGUAAUACGGAGGGUGCGAGCGUUAAUCGGAAUUACUGGGCGUAAAGGGCACGCAGGCGGUUAAUUAAGUUGGAUGUGAAAUCCCCGGGCUUAACCUGGGAAUGGCAUUCAAGACUGGUUUAGCUAGAGUCUUGUAGAGGGGGUAGGAAUUCCAUGUGUAGCGGUGAAAUGCGUAGAGAUGUGGAGGAAUACCGGUGGCGAAGGCGGCCCCUGGCAAAGACUGACGCUCAUGUGCGAAAGCGUGGGGAGGCAAACAGGAUUAGAUACC
rnacentral:rRNA from 1 species